CCUACUUGCAUGUGUUA
rnacentral:sRNA from 1 species